CUAAACAAGUGGCGGUGGUUUGUCAAUUGCAUCCCUAUGAGCGGGUUUCUGGGUGUAGCUUGAUAUUGAUUGAAAUAAUCAACUAUUAAUGGCUCGGAUGAAAUUUUCACGUGCGGUGGGAAUUGGAGAAAAAUUUUCAGUGCUUUAUUGUGUACUCUUAAGGCCCCACAACAGCUAUGGCAUUUUUAGAAAGGAUGUGCAAUGUCACAGUACUUAACUGGAUAGGCUGAAGUUGGUUCACAGCCGAACAGAGAUGGAAAUGGGGUUGUUCUAUGGAGGAAACUGUAGUUCUGAUAUAGAAAGCUAUUCAUUUCUCUCUUUUUCCCCUGAUAUAAAGAAUGUUUUGAGCAUUUCUUGCGGAAGUUUUGGACCUAUUGUGAGGUUUAAUCUUAGUGAAAAGUGGAUGUUCUAACAAGUUUGAUGAGAUUGUUAGGCCUUGUUUUAUAAUCGGUCAACCCACUUUUUAGUACAUAUUUCGUAAGACCCACAAGUACUAUCCACUUGUUCACAACUCAUUUCUAUUUAUACAUAAUUUGAACCGUUUAAUCACUACUCUCCAACGUGUUUUAAAAUCUUGUAAAUAUGGUUUGUAAAUGUCGCAGGUAUCUGAUGGACCCAAAUAUGCAGUUUGUCAAGUUUUUCGGCAAGAAUGUAGACGCUGAUUCACUUGCUGAUGGCGUAAUUCAAGAAAUAAAGCAGCACAAAUUGGUAAAAGCUUAGUUCUGCGUUCUCCUGGUCCAGGAGAUCUUGUCUGAACUGUAAAACAACAUUUUUCAUGGAUUUUCAUUAUAGAAUAAUCUCAAGGCUAUAUUUUUGAAGAUUAUAUGAACGUACAUUUUAGAUAACUUCAUACUUGGAAGAAUAAAUUAUGCCGAUGAAGGUAUACUUAGUACACAGUAUGUGACAUGGAAACUAACAAAAUUUUAGCUUCUUUCUCUUCCUCACUUUACGUGACCUAGAUUAUAAAUGCUCGACAUAAAUUUCAUCCUCAGAAUUGUAAUUUUUGCCACUCGUACAAGUACUUUGCCAACAGAG
rnacentral:lncRNA from 1 species